CUCUGCAAAGGUUUGAGCACAAACACCACCGUUUCCCUCUGGAGUCAGCUCACUGCUCGCUGCGGGAUUGGGCAUAUUAAUUAAAAACAGAACGCCCUUCGCUGGAGUGCCAAGAGAUUUCCCAGCGCCGUCUGCUUUCCAGUCCGCUGUAAUGAGCUCCUGAGAUCAGCCCACUAGAUCUCCUGGGCUGACCAAAGUAGAAGGGAACACUGCCAUGGGAGGAAGAGGAGCAGAAGGAGUCUCAGAGCGAAGAAAAUGCUGUUCCUUUGUAGUGCACUGAACUGCCUUUGAUGUACAAAGCCCCACUGGCAAGAGCAAAGGAGAAGCACUGAGAGAAAUGACAGCUCCUUGCAGAUUGAGUCUCAGGAGUUUGGGAAGCUGCCAGUCUAGAGGGGCCAGAAAGCCUGGCAUUGUUCAAGAAAUGCAAGAAAAGCUGCUAGUCAGAUGCUGGAAAAGUCUUGUGUUUCAGCCGAUUAUUCCGGUGCAUUAGUUCCAAUCAAACUUUGAAAUGGAAAAUAGAAACAGGAAGCAUCCUAUCCACUUUGCAUGGAGAAGAUUAACGUCCAGAGACAACCACCCAGAGGCGCAGCUUAGAGCCCCAAACGGCUAGCGCUGCUCAAAAGAGUUUCAUCCACGUUGGAUGGAUGGGAAAUGGAUUGUUCACGAAAUGGAAAGCUUCGCUCAAAAACUUCCAUUUGCAUCUAAAAUGUUUGGGUCUUUGUCGAAAAACUGAGGAUGUGGAAAAUUGAAAACGUUUGCUUUUUAGCAAAAACCCGCAAAAUUGCAAAGAUAUCCUUCCCCUAGACACCCACUGCUCUGCUUAUCCACUUUUCUCUCUCCUAUUCCCUCUCUCCUUCUGCCCCUUUUUCUUGUUCCACUCCUCUUCUCUUUUCGCCCUCUCCUUUCCUUGCGCUGCUCUCAGUUACUUACAGCAACGUACCAAAUCGUACUCAUUUUCAUUUAUUUCUGUAUUUACCUUCUUUAGAUUUAGAAUAAAUAAAAAGUGCCCACAGACAGGCUCUGAGCCUCCUGUUAAUUAUAUAAAAAUUGAAAAGCAAUACAAUGAGUUCAACCCAUCUACGAACACAAACAAUAUACUGCCCCCAGACAUUGGUCUGUACUGCAAUCCACCUGCCUCUCUCCAGAGGCCCGGGGAAAUAAACAAGCACUGUAGGGUGCCCUGAAAGCCAGCAAAUCUGGACUGGAUGUGGGAGGCCUUUACAGAGAAUGCCCUGCUGGCCACUCCCUCACUAUUAUAUCCAGGGGAAUCUAACAGCAGUGCUUCCACUAACUUGAACUGCAGCAGUAUAUCCCAGGGAGAGAGGGAACACAAAGGGUCUGAUUCUGAUCUCCCACUGGUGUUAAUCAGGAGUAACUCCACUAAACACAAUGGUGUCACACUGGCAUGAAGGAAAAGAGUGGAGAAUCCAGCUCAUAAUGUGAACAGUGAGAGGCGCAGCUCCCUUGCCUCUUGUGCUAGUGUUCGUUAUUUGUCGCUGGUGUCCAUGACAUUCUCUAGCCCUGCAGUAUGCUAAGAGUGAAUUUUGGAUUUCUUUGCAGUUGCCUGUUAUUACUGCCCCUGGGGCUUAUUUUCUGUCCCUAAAUUAAAGAGUAAAAUCUUUCCUGAUAAUGUGCAGAUAUUGCAGUACGGACC